rnacentral:rRNA from 1 species
UACGUAGGGUGCAAGCGUUGUCCGGAAUUACUGGGCGUAAAGGGCGCGCAGGCGGCUGCUCAAGUCAGGCGUGAAAGGCCUGGGCUCAACCCGGGAAUUGCGCUUGAGACUGGGCUGGCUUGAGUGCGGGAGAGGAUGGUGGAAUUCCCAGUGUAGAGGUGAAAUUCGUAGAUAUUGGGAAGAACACCGGUGGCGAAGGCGGCCAUCUGGACCGCAACUGACGCUGAGGCGCGAAAGCGUGGGGAGCAAACAGG